GGCGCCCUGCUCUUCCGCCGCGGCGCGCUCCUGAUGAGUGCUGUGUCCAGGAUGAUCAUGAAUUCAAGCUCUGGAGCUUGAGGUGAACUGGUCCGACUUCCAGAAGAGAAGGUAGGCAUCUGUGUGUAGAGUCAAGAUUUUUUUUUAUGUGUUUUUUUAAAAAUAUUUAUUUACUAUUUUUAUAUGUAAGUACACUGUAACUGUCUUCAGACACACUAGGAGAGGGUGUCAGAUGUCAUUAAGGAUGGUUGUGAGCCUCCAUGUGGUUGCUGGGAUUUGAACUCAGGAUCUUCGGAAGAGCAGUCAGUGCUCUUAACCACUGAGCCGUCUCUCCAGCCCUAGAGUCAAGGUUUUAGGUUACUUUGUCCCCUUCAUAGCAGGAACGGAUGAAUUUUGAGGCAUUCUCAUUGCAUAUAGAGAACAUGAGAAUUUUGUGUCUGUCGAACUAAAUUCCAUUAUUUGGUUUUCUAUGUGUCAGCCCUACUCUGAAACAUGCCACAAUAUUAACAUGAGAGAUCUUUUGAAAAAUUUGGCUUUAUUUAUAAAAUCUUUACUUUUAUGUUUUGCCUGCAUGUCUGUUCCAUAUGUGUGCAGUGCCCAUGGAGGCCAGAAGAGGGCAUCAAGAAAUUUUUUUGAAAAUUUUAGUUUUAUUUAUAAAACUUUUAUAUGUUUUGCCUGCAUGUCUGUACCAUGUGUGUGCAGUGCCUGUGGAGUCCAGAAGAGGGCAUCAAAUCCCCCUGGAAUUGGAGUUACACUUGGUUGCUAGGAAUUGAACCUAACUCCAAGAAGAGCAGGCAGCCAGGGCUCCUAAUUGCUGAGCCCUAAGCUUUGGCAACUCAGAAUUGUCCAACACAUAGUUGAGAGAUCUAGUCCUCCCAGAAGAGUGAGUUGUAUGGUCGGAUCCAUUUGGUGUCCUGGCUUAAUACCCACCAUGUGUACUCUAGCUGUAGCUGGAUUGAGCAAAUAGCCUAUGUGAUUUAAACUACCAUGUUGAUGCCUCAUUAUGUUCAAAUGCUCUGUAGAGAAAUGAGGCAAAUGAAGCAAAAAGUUAAUGUUUUCAGAGAAUUCAUAAUUCUAAGUAAAAGUCUUGAAUAUAUGGAGUGAAAGAGCUUUACAUUGUCCACGAUGAUGCGCUGUGGCGCUCCCAGGCAUGAGCAGAGUAAACUUGACAACUAUGGUCUGGUGGGGGUGAGGUGGUGGCCACAGUCUCACCAGAUCUUCAUCCAACUGGUGAAAGACCCCACCAUAAGGCUUAGCAAGCUAGCUGCAGUAACGCCAUUUUGCAAGGCAUGAAAAAGUACCAGAGCUGAGUUCUCAAAAGUUACAAGGAAGUUUAGUUAAAAAAAAUAAGGCUGAAUAAUACUGAGACAGAGGCCAAACAGGAUAUCUGUGGUCAAGCACCUGGGCCCCGGCUCAGGGCCAAGAACAGAUGGUACUCAGAUAAAGCGAAACUAGCAACAGUUUCUGGAAAGUCCCACCUCAGUUUCAGGUUCCCCAAAUGACCGGGAAAUACCCCAAGCCUUAUUUAAACUAACCAAUCAGCUCGCUUCUCGCUUCUGUACCCGCGCUUUUUGCCCCCCAGCCCUAGCCCUAUAAAAAGGGUAGGAACUCCACACUCGGCGCGCCAGUCACCCGAUAGACUGAGUCGCCCGGGUACCCGUGUUCCCAAUAAAGCCUUUUGCUGUUUGCAUCCGAA
rnacentral:lncRNA from 1 species